GAUGAAGAACGUAGCAAAAUGCGAUAAGUAAUGUGAAUUGCAGAAUUCAGUGAAUCAUCGAAUCUUUGAACGCACAUUGCGCCCGCCAGUAUUCUGGCGGGCAUGCCUGUUCGAGCGUCAUUUCAACCCUCAAGCACAGCUUGGUGUUGGGACUCGCGUUAAUUCGCGUUCCCCAAAUUGAUUGGCGGUCACGUCGAGCUCCCAUAGCGUAGUAGUAAAACCCUCGUUACUGGUAAUCGUCGCGGCCACGCCGUUAAACCCCAACUUCUGAAUGUUGACCUCGGAUCAGGUAGGAAUACCCGCUGAACUUAAGCAUAUCAAUAAGCGGAGGA
rnacentral:misc_RNA from 1 species